AUUAAGCUUAAUUUGAGAAACCAGUUAAGCUAAUAAAAUUGAGGAAAGAUGGCUUCACGUUUAUUUUAAGAAAAUUCACUCAAUUAUGUGGAUUUGAUUGAGAUGUUUGCAUUUGAAUCUCAACAACGGCAGUGAUCAGACGACAUUUUGAAGGAGCAGAUCAACAGCGAGCAUGUUAAGAGUUUAAUGAAGAAAACGUUUGCAGAGUUUUCCCACUAAAGAGGAGCAGUUUAUUGAGGCAGAUUUUGAUAAAGAGAAUGGGUGCCAUACAUCAGACCUCACAUUAAAUCAGGGAUGAAAUGAGAGAUGUCGUCCUCUGUUGCUGGUUUAUCUGUAUGAAUAAGAUGAAGAGCUCAUCCAGGAGUGCAAUUGUGGGAAUGCACAGAGAAUUGCUGUCUGUCAGAGGGAUGACCAACCAUGAGGACUUCUGCAUUGUCUUGGAGGAUAAGUGAGUCAUGGCUAGCCUGGAAAAUCUAGAAUCGCUGAACUGGAUUUAUACAAAUAUUCCACAAAUUAAAAUCACUUACAAAGAAACGAAUAUUAAGUUUGCAAUACACAAAUUCUGUCAAAUAUUGUCUAAAAUGUGACUAUUCCUACAAAGGAAAGUUGACAGGUCAGUUUUUUCCAUGACAUGGAUAAAGGAAUUUUUAUCAGAGAUUAACAUUGCUGUAAAUUUUAUAUAGAUUUGUUUAACAUAUUGUACCAUUUUGUUAUCAGUGUAACAUGUAAUAAAAUGAU